AAGUCGUAACAAGGUUUCCUUCACCUAUUGAAGCCUUCAGCAGCGACUGUAAAAAAAAUGCGUAGUUUGCUUGCAAGCAAUGCCACUCAAAUGCUGAGACAUAUGAAUCAGCAGCCUUCUAGGCUCACAGAUCAAAUUGUGGUAACCAUUUUCAUGGGCAAGAUAUGACCGGUCUUAACUAGAGUUAGUUAAGAAUCCACGUUCCGUAGGUGAACCUGCGGAAGGAUCAUUAAUGAAACUUCAAAGUCGGCUUUUGUUGUUCUGUGCUGGUGGAGAGAUUCACAUGUGCACGUCGACAAG
rnacentral:misc_RNA from 1 species